rnacentral:rRNA from 1 species
UACGUAGGGUGCAAGCGUUAAUCGGAAUUAUUGGGUUUAAAGGGUGCGUAGGCGGUCUUUUAAGUCAGCGGUGAAAGCCUCCAGCUUAACUGGAGAAAUGCCAUUGAUACUGGAAGACUUGAGUACAGACGAGGUAGGCGGAAUUGACAGUGUAGCGGUGAAAUGCAUAGAUAUUGUCAAGAACACCGAUUGCGAAGGCAGCUUACUAGACUGUAACUGACGCUGAGGCACGAAAGUGUGGGGAUCAAACAGG